CUGCCAUCGAGCCUCGUCGCUUUUGGCUGUGAGGUUCCCGACGGUGAAAAGAAGGCGCACAACAAGAUCCUGUGAGAGAACGGUGACCGGCCCUCCUGGGAUGAUUAAAUGUCAAAACACACGCAAGAAAGAGACCCGAAUGCCUCGUGCCGAUGGACGCAAUGUUCUUGGACUUGAGGAGACAGCGCGAUGAGAGAUCCAGCACAGAGGAGGCGUGCCCGCGUCCCUGGCAGCCCCUU